GAAUGGGGUUUUGAAAACUGGCAUGGUUUGAUGAUUUUAAGGAUUUAGUUUGAUGAUUUUAAGGAAUUGGUUUGAGUUAGGUGAAAGAGUGAGGGUGAGGUGUUCGAUUCCUCAUAUGUUAGUGUUUGUGAGGAUUGUACGUAAAGCAAGAUUGAGGAUUUUAAGAUUCCCCAGAUUCCGUAGAAGAUUAGAUUAGAUGUUGAUGAUGAUUUGGCUAAUUUCAUCUUUUCAACAAAAAAAUAAUUAAAAAUUUAACGAAGAAGUAAUACGUUGAACAAUAUUUCAUAAUUUAUUUCGAUUUUGAGUUUUAAAUUUAUUUUAUCCGAUGCAUGAUUUUUGAAAAAUUACUUUUUUACUGAAAUAAUUUGAAUAUUGAAUUGGUUGUUACAUGUGGUUAGAGGGAUAUGGUGGUUACAUAUGUCAUCGUCA
rnacentral:lncRNA from 1 species